rnacentral:rRNA from 1 species
GUGGGGAAUAUUGGACAAUGGGGGGAACCCUGAUCCAGCCAUGCCGCGUGUGUGAAGAAGGCCUUUUGGUUGUAAAGCACUUUAAGCGAGGAGGAGGCUACCGAGAUUAAUACUCUUGGAUAGUGGACGUUACUCGCAGAAUAAGCACCGGCUAACUCUGUGCCAGCAGCCGCGGUAAUACAGAGGGUGCAAGCGUUAAUCGGAUUUACUGGGCGUAAAGCGCGCGUAGGUGGCCAAUUAAGUCAAAUGUGAAAUCCCCGAGCUUAACUUGGGAAUUGCAUUCGAUACUGGUUGGCUAGAGUAUGGGAGAGGAUGGUAGAAUUCCAGGUGUAGCGGUGAAAUGCGUAGAGAUCUGGAGGAAUACCGAUGGCGAAGGCAGCCAUCUGGCCUAAUACUGACACUGAGGUGCGAAAGCAUGGGGAGGAAACAGGAUUAGAAACCCGUGUAGUCC